UGCAGGGUGGUCUAGUGGAUAGACUCUGGGGCUGGGAGUCAGAAGGGCCUGGGUUCUAAUCCCAGCUCUGCCA
rnacentral:tRNA from 1 species